CUAGUUUGCAUCCUGCCUACACCCCAACCAACUUCGUGACCUCAGAAAGCCACUGGAUACAACUGGCCCCAGUUUCAUCUCUAAAAUGACAGGAUGGCUGAGGACACAUGGAUCCCUGGGCUUGGGAACCAGGUUUCUUUACAACAGCUCUCCACUCCGCCUGAGCGCAAUUUCUACAAACACCAUCGGCUUCAAUUGCUUGACAAUGUGGUUCAUUCAUUUAUCUGUCAUGUCCAACUGAAUGUCGUGAUCACAGGAUAGACAGGUUCAAUCUACAUGACGUGCUCCACUGAUAAUGACAAUCCUGCACAGACCAUUCACAUGUGAUACAGUAACCAUCUCUGCCACAGCUAUGAUCCCAAGAAAUCUCUGUCUGCUGGCACCACUUAGAAUUCCUAGAGGGAAACCCUCCUUUGUCCCCACUGGUGAUGUGCACCUUGCUACCUCAGGCUUCCUGAUGGCUGUCCUGGAAAUGUGGGCAAAAAAACGUUUCUGUUACAAGCCACCUUCUCCUGUCUCCUCCGGUCACCUCACCAAAUCCUUCUAUCCAGGCCUCCUCUACAUCCUGGCUCAUGGCCAGAAGACCCGACUAGAAAUCAUGUUCAUGUUUGCUGGGGUCUCAAGAUAACCAAAGCCAAACAGCACACCGAGAAGCAUCUAUUUCUGGAAAACUAGAACUUGGCAUCAGAGAUCAAAGCCUGGCAAGGUGCAAACUCCUCACUCCAUCACCUUCCACAUUGCCACUGGCAAUGAUAGUCCUGCCAGAGGGAGGUUACCGGGGAAACACAGAAGUGCAUCCACAAAAGGGGACUUGACUUGAACUGGGGUGAAAGUUGACAAUUAAGUCAGCAACAAAAUCAAUAAACGGUGGAAAUGACCUGGAGUUUUGCUAGUCCAGUGGAGGUGAGCAGCAGACCAGAUAGAAGGUCAGUGAGAGCCAUGGAAAGGCUCUCUUCCCUCUGCAGGCCUGGCUGUCUGGAGAAGCACACACACAGAAAGGGGAGAUCCAUAAAAUCUCCACCCCGGAGAACAUGACAGUUCAGGCAAGCUUGACUAAAUUCCACAGCUCACAUACAGAUCAGUUUGCUAAGAGUGAAUAUCUUACAAGUUCAAGGUAUUUGAAAACAUCCUCUGCCCAAAGGAUUGGCUGACCACUGAGCUAUGGAGAUAAGGGGGAGUCCCCAGGAAGUAAGGGUUAAAAAUGAAACCAAGAAAGGAAACCAGGCAACAGGGCCACACCUCCUAAUGGUGCCACUCCCUAUAAGUCUAUGGGGGUCAUUUUCAAUCAAACUACCACAUAUAGUUUCUUUUUUGUUUUUUUGUUUGGGUUGGGAGUGCUUGUUAUUGUUGGGACAGGCUCUCAUGUUGCCUAGGCGGGCUUUGAGGCUUCAGAUGCUCAAACCAGACCCAGUGUCAUUCUUUCUUCCUGCUGCCUGCAGAUCCAGAUAUAGACUCUCAGCUCCUUCUCCAGCACCGUGUCUGUCUGCAUGCCACCAUGCUUCCUGCCCUGAUAACA